CAGCCGCCGCGGUAAUACGUAGGGUGCAAGCGUUAAUCGGAAUUACUGGGCGUAAAGCGUGCGCAGGCGGUUAUAUAAGACAGAUGUGAAAUCCCCGGGCUCAACCUGGGAACUGCAUUUGUGACUGUAUAGCUAGAGUACCGCAGAGGGGGAUGGAAUUCCGCGUGUAGCAGUGAAAUGCGUAGAUAUGCGGAGGAACACCGAUGGCGAAGGCAAUCACCUGGGCCUGUACUGACGCUCAUGCACGAAAGCGUGGGGAGCAAACAGGAUUAGAUACCCGCGUAGUCCCUGUCUCUUAUAC
rnacentral:rRNA from 1 species